AACGAACGCUGGCGGCAUGCCUAACACAUGCAAGUCGAACGAGACCUUCGGGUCUAGUGGCGCACGGGUGCGUAACGCGUGGGAAUCUGCCUAAAGGUUCGGAAUAACAGUUAGAAAUGACUGCUAAUACCGGAUGAUGUCUUCGGACCAAAGAUUUAUCGCCUUUAGAUGAGCCCGCGUAGGAUUAGCUAGUUGGUGGGGUAAAGGCCUACCAAGGCGACGAUCCUUAGCUGGUCUGAGAGGAUGAUCAGCCACACUGGGACUGAGAAACGGCCCAGACUCCUACGGGAGGCAGCAGUGGGGAAUAUUGGAGAAGUGGCGAAAGCCUGAUCCAGCAAUGCCGCGUGAGUGAUGAAGGCCUUAGGGUUGUAAAGCUCUUUUACCCGGGAUGAUAAUGACAGUACCGGGAGAAUAAGCCCCGGCUAACUCCGUGCCAGCCGCCGCUGUAAAAC
rnacentral:rRNA from 1 species